AGUGAUUAAUAGGGUUGGACAGCUUCUCUCACGCAGCCAUCAGGGUAAAUUCUCAAGAUGCCAAACGAUGAAGCAGAACUUUUAUGGAGACCACUAACAUUUACUUUCAGUUCUUCCUGAGAAAAGUACCAAGGCAUAGGUUCCUUAAGUGAUCUUAAAUUGUCUCGUAAGUGGCCAAUGCCUGUAAUCCCAGUACUUUGGGAGGCCAAGGCAGGAGGACAACUUGAGCCCAGGAGUUAGGAAUCAGCCUGGGUAACACAGUGAAAACCUGUCUCUACUGAAACUACAAAAAUUAGCUGGCAUUUUAUAUGUGGGAAGCACUUAGGAAAUAAAUGUUCAAUGAAUGAAUUAAUGAAGGAAUGAAUGCAAAAACAGCUAUGAAAAAAAGCUUAAAAAGAUUCUGCCUGCUUAUGCAAGAUGCUAAUCAUAGCAUUCCAGAAUGCUAAUGGAGAAUUAGCCCAUUUUGAAUUUUGGGAAGAGGACCAGUCUGACCAUACAUACACACUUUUCUCAGCACAUGACAGACAGUAGCAUCCUAGCAGCCAUCCUGUAUUUUGAAGAUGAAUGAGUGACACCAAGGAUGAGAAAGUGAGUGUGGAGUCCUGGACUUCCCAUCUCCAGACCUCUUACAGGAAAGAGGAAAAGGAAACCUGUGUCUUCUUAAUGUCAUGAUUAUUUGGGUUUUUUGUUCAGAGAAUUCUGCCAAACCUAACACUCAUUUAAAAGCUUAUCAAGCAAUUAUUAUAAAUUUAUUGAGUGAGCACUUUCUAUUCUUAAAAUUUGGGAUUUGCCCUUUCAUUAAUAGUAGAAAUAUAAGAAAUUAUCCUUGCUCUUUUUUGAAAAUUUACUUUAAGAAAUAAGGCUGACCUUGAGCACAAUGCUGUGUCAAAACUCUGUCAGAAAUACACAUAAACUUACAUAACACUCCAUACUUCUUUUGUGGUGACCCUUUCCACAUGACUUUUCCUUCUUAAUAGUACUGUAAGGUUCUUGAAAAAGAAGCUGGGUCUAAUUCGUACAUCGAGUAAUCAAUAAAAGCAUUACAGCUGUGACACAAUGAAAAUGAUAUGUGAGUUUUCCUGCCAUUCUGCUUACCUCUUACAGCAAGAGAUAAUUCCAGCUUGGUCAAUUGUGUCUUGCCUAUUUCCUUUCCUAACAUUCAAGAAACUCCUUCUUAACCACUUAAGUGCUUGGACUCUUGCAACAGAGAAUCAGGACAAAGUAGGAGAACAGUAUUAGGUUGGUGCAAAGGUAAUUGCGGUUUUUGCCAUUACCUUCGAUAGCAAAAACUGCAAGUACCUUUGCACCAACCUAAUAGUUCAAGGGACUAUUCUACUAUAAGGCAAGGGACACAUGGUGGCAAAAGCUAGAAGAAUAUUUUCUUCUUGAUGUUUAGCACCUUUUUUCAAAGGUUUAAAUUCAUUAGAGUACAUAAUUUAAAUAUAAUUAAAUGCACCCAUUUUAAGUGUAUAACAAAAUGAGUUUUGACAAAUGUAUAUGCCUAAGCUACCGUCAGCCCAAAUGUAAUAUAAAACACUUCAAGCAUCCCACUAUGACCUCUCAAGCACAUUGAAGUUCUAGCCUCAAGUAAUCAUUGAUGCGUUUCCUGUUACUGUAGGUUCGUUUUGCCUAUUCUGAAAUUUCAUAUUGGUGGAAUCAUAAAACAUAUUCUCAUAUGCAUCUGUAUUCUUUCACUCAGCAUGAUAUUUUUGAGAUUAAUUCAGGUUUUAUAGUGUUUCAGUAGUUCUUUUUUUGGUAAGACAAAUAACAUUUACUAUAGAAAAUAACUAUUUUUUUAAAUAGUGGGGUAAGUAACUGCACUGCAUCUGGCAGAAGGCAGGCCCUUAAGUAAGAUUAGCCUUUCUUUUUAUCCCAACCAAGCCAAGAAGACCUCAUCCUUCAAAGUUCAUUCAUUUUUAUUGAAGAGUAAUAGUUUAUUGCAACACAGUGAAAAGGUAACCUACAGAAAGAGAGAAAAAUAUUUGCAAACUAUAUAUCCUAUGUUGAUUAAUUCCCAAAAUAUCUAAGUAAUGCCUACAACUCAAUGGCAUAAUGGUUAAUUUCCAAAAUAUCUAAGGAACUCCUACAACUCAAUGGUUUAAAAAACAUAAUAACUCAAUUUUUAAAUGCGCUAAAGACUCAUCUAGAUAUUUGUCUAAAGAAGACAUACAAAUGGCCAAUAGGUAGAUGAAAAAAUGAUCAAUGUCACUAAUCAUCGGGGAAAAGAAAUCAAAACCACAAGAUAUCACCUGACACCUGGUGGAAUGACUCUAAUUUUUUUAAAAGAGAAGAAGUGUUGGCAAAAAUGUGGACAAAAGGAAAUUUUGAACUUUUGAACUUUUGAAUGGUGUUGAUGGGAAUCCAAAAUGGCACAGCUGCUAUGAAAAACAGUAUGGAAGUUCUUCGAAAACGUAAGAAUUGAACUACUAUAUGAUCCGGCAAUCCCACUUCUAAGUAUUUACCUAAUGGAAUAAAAACAAGACCUCAAGGAGACAUUAGCACUUCUAUAUUCAUUGCAGCACUAUUCAUACUAACCAAGAUGUGGAAACAACUCAAAUAUCCAUCAACAAUUGAAUGUAUAAUUAAAAUGUGGUAUAUACGUAUAACAAGAUACUAUACAGGUGUUUGUUGGGUCAUUGAGAGAGAAACAUUGGAACACUUUGGAGUGGUUUAUGAGGGCAGUGGGUGCAAGAAAACAGAAUUUGGAGAUGAUUUGGUUGGCCUAUGUUCCCUUCAAAUAAAGGACUUUACUACACUGUACAUUAGCCUGUGACAUCGCUCAGGAACCAACAAAGUGGAACAUAACUCUAUAAGUAUUAUAUAAUAAUGGCAGUAUGUAUUCAAGUAUUAAAUAAUGGGAUGCUGACAAUAAAUGCUUUAAGAGAUCAGAAAUCAGAGAGAAAGAAAUGGACUAGAAAAAUCGGGGAUAUUUAUUUAGAGAGAGAAACUGAAAAAGUGAUAGGAUUGGGAUAAGCUGAAAAAUGUGAUAAGCUUCUGGAGGAGUCUUCCAAGACUUCCAGCUGCCUCCAAUAGGGGAAAAUUACCAAGGUUUAAUUAAAAAGCUGCUUGAAUCUGUUCAAGUUGAGUAAAGCUCCAUAUGGAUGCCUGGUAUCCAUUGCCUCCCUUAUAUAUAUCGACUCUGUCUAUGAGAUAGUACAUAUUGAAUUCAUUUGGAAACAAUUAUGUCCUGUGCAAAUCAUUAUCAACAUCACUGUUAAUCCAUGUUUGUGGGGUGGAGGUUAUGUAGAAUUCUAUCCAAUUCUCAACACCGGUUAUCAGAAUAGCUUUGUUAUUGAAAUGAGCAGAAUCUAACUUAUGAAAACAGUGAGGGUCACAUGUUUCAAACAUGACCUUUACCCGAUUAAACUUGUGUACCAACCCAAGAGUGAUGUCCAAUGAUACCACUUGAUACUUAGGUCUGCUUGCUAUUUUAAUAAGACACAGACAGGUUUAGCAGAUGUUGCAACAAACAAGUAAAUAUGUUCUAAGCAAUAAAUCUGCAGAGACAUUCAGGAUAGCAUGAAAAGAAUGUGCUUCAUUCUUUCCAAUGUGAUCACAACAAGUAAGAUUUUAUCACUAAUUACAGAUGCAUACACAUAUUCAUGGUCUACUGGGAAUAUCAUCUCCAUAUGGCAUGACUUGCAAAGACAUUACAUGUCUCAAACAUUAUUAUACAAUUGAGAGAACAUUUCAACAUUACGAAUAUUCUGUAUUUCACGUUCAAAUGGAUAUGUGACUUGGUGGAAAAAAAAAAAACACCUCUUCUGAUCACAUCUAAGUCACAAAUUUUUUGUGCUAGCUUGAGAAUGUUAUUAAAUAUCUUUCUAUGUCUGAGUUUCUCCAUUGCCAAAUUGACUUUAUUAUCUAAAUUAUGAACAACUUGGUGGAAAGGAAGAAGAACAGAAGGUUGUCUGGGAAAGCAAGUAUUCUACGUACAUUUAAGAAAAAAACAAUUUUAUAAUAUGAUAUGGAACCAUUGCUGCACAAUUUUCCCCCAUGACACUGAAAUGAAAAUACUGACGACAGAAGCAAAUACGGCAUUAAAUUUUUUCGGUGUUCAAGAUAAAUAGGAAUCAUCAAUCAUUCUCAUUUUUAUCCUUUCCUUGGGCAAAAUAAAAAUUCUAUGGUUUAUAAGAUGGCAAUAAAAUGCAGAGAAGCUCCACUUAGCCAGAUAAUUGAGUCUAUAUUAAAGAUCAGGAUUACAAAAAUGUGUCUAAAGGAAGACAUUUAUUGCAAAGUAGAAAAUAUCUGUUCAUUAGGCCAAGAAAAGAUUUAGACAAAUGUUAUUCACCUUUUUAAUUCACUAAAUAAUUAAUUUUGGGCUUCCAUUCUUCAUAGUCAUUAAUCCAAUCCUUCUAAUGAGACUAUUUGCCUAAAACUGUUAUUAAUUGCAUAUAAAUAGAAUAAGUAAACAUGUUAUAUAAAACUUUUAAUCAAUAAAUAGAAACAGGUUAUUCACUUUGAGCAGUAUUACCAUUGUUUCCAUGGACCAUUGUUUCCAUUGAGGUGUGCAAUACAUAGCAAUAGAAUAAAUAAAUGCAAAGUAGUGGCAACUUCUUAUAAGUUAUAAAAAGCAAACAAACCUCAGAACUUUAUAAGUCACAAUGGCAACUUAUACGUUUCAAACAUGCAACCUAUUUUUAAAAUUAAGUUAUUCUCAGGUACUGAAAACAGUGAACAAUAUAUUGAUUGAUUUUCGAUAUGUGGCAAUUUUCUUUUUCCCCAAAUAUUAAAAAGUAAAAUAGAAAGGUAAGGCUCAUACUCUAGUGCUCAAAUUAAACCUGAUAACCUAUAUACUGGGACCAGGAGUUCCAAGACCAUUUUUUUACGGUCCUACAGGUAAUUUCUUUGUACAUCAUCCUGUACUUCCCACACAGGUGGCAUGGGGACAAAUCAAUAUGUAAAUUAACCUGCUUCUCCUUCUCUAUUCUACUUUCAUUACUUCCAGCACUGACAGUGGUUAUUCUAAGUUAUAUCUAAUCUGCUUGGGAUACAGGUGGUUACAACUAUCUUUAAAUGUAUCUAUCUGUACAUAGACAUUAGGCUAUAGGACCUUAAAACAGUAGGCCUAUAAAGGAAUCUUAAAUCUACAGGGCAAGGCGUAUGCUCAGAUCAUAUUUAAAAGUGAUUAUCCUAUGCCAAGUGGAGACCUGAGGGCUCAUUUGAUUAUGGGCAAGCCAUCUUUUUUUUUUUUUU
rnacentral:lncRNA from 1 species